rnacentral:lncRNA from 1 species
CUGCUGGAUGCACAGGAUGCUCCAGCCAGGCUGGGCCCAAAGGACACUCGGGUUCCUUCAAGAAGGUGCUGAGCCAAGGAAGGGGAGAGGAAGCGACAGGACAGCAUCUGAAGGCCACUGGGGCUUCCCCUGGGCCCAAGGCGCCGGCUUCUGCGAUUGUUCGUCCACUCAAACAUCAAGGCCCAAGCCUCAAGCAAGGGAAAGGCGGGGCCUGGACCUUGGGCUGCAUCCGGCUUGUUCGAGUUCCAUCCUUCGGAAUCCACAUCUCUGGGGCUGAGAAGACAAGAAUGGGAAAUCUGCAGUAUGGUGCCUCCUUUCUUCCACUCUUCUGCCUUCCGGGGCCCUGGGCCCCUCGCAUGCUUAUGCU